rnacentral:lncRNA from 1 species
CCAGCUAUAAAUUUUCUAGUGGAAAUGAAUCACAACUCCUAAAAAUAUAAAACUAGAGCUCAACACUAUAACGACAAAAAUUCAAACAAGCAAGAUUAUAAUAGUCAUAAUAUAUAUCUCCCUUGGAGCAAAAUGAUAUUACCCACCCGUGGAAUAUGCCAUUCAAUUAGUAACCAAAAGAAAAAAAAAUCACAUAAAACAAAA